GACAAAUAGUCGGACCUUUUUGUCUCCCAACAAUCUACGAUCGUUCCGAUCGUCUAGGAUCGAACGAGGAUCAUUUCGAAGCUGCGAAGUUGUCCCACAGUGAUCGCUAGUCUGCGGAAUUUUGUGCGAAAUGAAAAUCGUUUGCAUUGGUCGCUGGAAGCAGGAACCAAAAAUUCAUUCUUUCGUGGAUCACUUUAAUAGAUUAAAAAUAAGACAUUGUGAUUUUUUAAGUCUUUCGAUCUCUCUUCUGUUUUAAAUUGCAAUCGCCCGAGACUGUUAUAAAUUGCGAUAACAGGAAUUAUUGCAGUCAAAGUUUAACAGAUUAAAAAUCGGAGAGACAUGUGUGUAGCUCGCAUGUGCAGCGAUUUGGAUACAAGCAAGCCUCUAAAUCGAGCCCGAUCGAUUUUCAACAACAAAAACACUUUAGAACCCACCAGAUGUUGGAAAUCAACGAAUUAAUCCUGACGACCCCGGGCUUGUCAAGCGCGGCAGUGACGGCUUCCGUGACACGAAACACGACACUAAUGAGGUCUAUGUGGGUCAAAUAAAACUGAGAUGUUGUCCUCAACAAAUUCGACAAAGGGAAACUUAAUAAGAUGUUGCGAGAGACCGUGGACUACAAGGAUGCUGUGUACUGAUCCGACUGUCGCCAGGACGAAUCUUUGCGUCUAACAGAGAUUUAAAAAAGAAUAUUCGAAGAUUGCCAGGAGCAGUGUUUUGGCAGAAAAAUUCGUUCGUAUUAUAGUAGCCUUUUCACGACGAAUCGACGAAUGUAUCUCAACCAGAGUUGUGCCAAUACGACUACAUCGUAAUUCGUAAUUGAUGCAAUUCGAUUACAUUGUAAUUCGUAAUUAAUGCA